rnacentral:lncRNA from 1 species
CUCUGGCAAGGAAGAAAAAGAGGAGCACUGGAAAGAUGGAGAGAGGAAAAGCAAGGAGGAGAAUAUUCUUACCGUUUGUCUGUGAAGUGGACUAAGGACUGUCUCUUUAAGCCUUCCUGGAGUCUGAGCCGCUCUCUCUCUCUCUCUCUCUCUCUCUCUCUCUCUCUCCCUCUCCCCCCCCCCCCCUCUCUGCCAGGGGAGCAGGAGCCUGGGCACGCUCAGAUGAGCAGUAGUUUGCCGGCAAAGUGCUAGUGGUUAGCUUUAGCUUUAGCUUUUAGCUCCUUGAAGGGGGUGGGGGGUAAAAGAGAGUUCUUUAACAGUCGCAACCUCCAUCACGGACACACACACACACACACACCAACAUACACACACAUGCAGGAUGCCGGCCCCUCCAAGAAUAAGGAGGGGGGGCCACAGUCGGUCAGCUGUCCCUGCCCUCUCCACCAUUGCUGAGGAAGAGGAACACCAACGCAAACGCAGGAGACGAAGGAGAGCAGUUCCACACGUUCUCCUGGGGAUGAAGAAGUCAGGGUUCCACCACGGUCACUAGAACCGCUCCACAGCUUCCCCUGCCGGGAUCAAAGGGACGCCAUGAGCAAUACUCCAGGUGUGUGUGUGUGGUGUGUGUGUGUGUGUGUGCGUGUGCGUGUGUAUGCGUGUUGGUGUAUGAGUGUACGUCAGUACAUAUUUAAAAGGUCUGGAUGACAUUGUUGAACAGUCAAAUCAGUUCAGUACUGUAUCAGGGAAGCUGACAUUGUUUUAUAAAUGUGCGUGUGUGAUGCUUUUUGCCUCGUGCUGUGGUUUUGAACACUUUCACGUGUUUUGGAGAAAGGGAUUGUUGAUUUGUCGAGAUGCGGGUGUGUGUGUGUGUGGGUAUAAUGUGUAUAGUAGUUUCUAAUGGAAACACAGAUUGAAAUGGGGUUAUGUUUAAAGACAGAAAGUGCCUGGGUGUGAGGCAUAAACCAACAGGACACAUGAAUCCUCCAGAAGUGUGUGUGUGUGUGUGUACGUGUGUACAUGUGUACGGCAUGUGGUGGUGGUUGAAGGGCACAGAAAGAAAAACAUGAAAAACAGAUCUGACAGAGGUACCUUUAACCUGUGACCACACAGCACAGGGGAUAUUUGUUCUGUGUGUGUGUGUAUAUGUAUGUAUAUAUCUGUGUCUCGUGUGUGUGUGUGUGUGAGGAUCCUGAGGUUGCGGUGUGUGUUUCCGCCUGUGUUGAUGGCUGUCCUUUUGUGUGUGUGUUUGUGAGUGUUGGGUGGGGAGGGGG